rnacentral:rRNA from 1 species
UGGGGAAUUUGGACAAUGGGCGAAGCCUGAUCCAGCAAUGCCGCGUGUGUGAAGAAGGCCUUCGGGUUGUAAAGCACUUUUGUCCGGAAAGAAAUCCUUGGCUCUAAUACAGUCGGGGGAUGACGGUACCGGAAGAAUAAGCACCGGCUAACUACGUGCCAGCAGCCGCGGUAAUACGUAGGGUGCAAGCGUUAAUCGGAAUUACUGGGCGUAAAGCGUGCGCAGGCGGUUUGCUAAGACCGAUGUGAAAUCCCCGGGCUCAACCUGGGAACUGCAUUGGUGACUGGCAGGCUAGAGUAUGGCAGGAGGGGGGUAGAAUUCCACGUGUAGCAGUGAAAUGCGUAGAGAUGUGGAGGAAUACCGAUGGCGAAGGCAGCCCCCUGGGCCAAUACUGACGCUCAUGCACGAAAGCGUGGGGAGCAAACAGGAUUAGAUACCCUGGUAGUCCACGCCCUAAACGAUGUCAACUAGUUGUUGGGGAUUCAUUUCCUUAGUGACGUAGCUAACGCGUGAAGUUGACCGCCUGGGGAGUACGGUCGCAAGAUUAAAACUCAAAUGAAUUGACGGGGUC